AAAUAAAUAUUGCAAUAAAUGUUAUAAUUUUCAAGGCGUACACAAUUAGGACUUGUUUGAUUCAAGUGUGGAAUUGGAAUGGAUAAUCGAAUGGGAAUGAAUUGGAAUGAUAAUUGGAAUGACCCACUCCCCCAAGACGUUUGGUUUAUUUGUGGAUUGGAAAUUAGAAUGAGUUAUUCACAUUUCAUUAUUUGGUUCGUAUAAAUUAAAAAAAUUAUAGGAUACUAUAAUACUAAUUUUACUCUCAAAUAUAAAUUUAUUUUAUUUAAAAUUUAUGAAAAAUAUAAUACUAUUCUCUAAUAAAUUUUUCAAAAAAAAUAUCAAAUUUAUUUUUAAAAAUUUUUAUUGAUGUGGGUUAGGGAUAGGGUUUUGAGAGAGGAUAGAUUUUUUUUUUUUUUUUUUUAUGGGAAAGGAGUGGAGAGAAAGAGGGUGAGAGGGCUUCAAGAACUUAGUGAGCUUCCGGAAUGAAAUAUCAAUCCGGACUAGAAGACCGGAAUCAAGUUAAAGACUAAUGGGUCAUUCCCAUUCCAGUCCGGAAUAGAAAUUUCAAACCGAUUUAUGCGAACCAAACAAAAUUAACCGGAUUUGAUCAAACCGAUUCUUAUUCCAUACCCAAAAUGGAUGAACCAAACAAGCCCUUAAAGUACACUGCGUUUACAAUUACAUAUAAAUAAGUAGCCUCAGAAAAUCAAAGACCUAGGUAUUAAUAAGAGAUUUAUCUAUUUUAUUUACAUUGUAAUUUGAAACUUCUUGUAUCAAUUAAAACAUAUUGUUUUUUUUUAUUCGAAGAGUAGCAAAAAGUUGAGAUAAGUCGACCAAAUUAUAAUAAAUUAAUGUUUAAGGAGCAAAAAUGUUCUAAGGAUAAAUAGUGUACUCUAAUUUUCUUUUUAAAUUUUAAUCUAUGAAAUGUGAUUUAAAAUAUAAAAAUGAUUUCAAGCAGAAUAUCGAUAUGAAAUUCUGAUUAAGAAUUUAAGUGCCGUAGCACGAAAGCGUACCGUGUUGAAACUUGCUCGUGACUCGUAGUUUCGAGUCUAAUUUUCUUAUCCCCGGAGAUGGAGCCGUCACAGUCAAUUAAAUUAGGGUUAGACUGGGACUCCCGCAUAUUACAUAUUUACAUAUAACUUGAUGUAAGAAUGUUAAAUCACGUCCGUCCAUCGAGGACGUGUCCAGAUACAUCAUAACCGUAAGAUCUACAAUGUCUUUAUAGAUCAUCUUAAAUAGAUUGACCAUAUAUUUAUGGAUCGUCAUGAAUAUAUCAUGUGGACACAUCCAACAUACCGAACCAUGCCUAUACGUACCGGUCACAAAAAAUAUAUAUUUGUCGACGUAUAAUGGCAUAAAAUAUUUAUUUUUUUUAAUAAUAAAUUAUGUCAAUUAUUUAUUAUAUAUUUUUAUCAAAUUAUUUAAAUUUUAUUAAAAAAAUUAAUUACUAAU
rnacentral:lncRNA from 1 species